UCACGUAGUUUGACUCCGUGGCUCAGGAGAACGCUGGCGGCGUGCUUAACACAUGCAAGUCGAGCGAUGAAGUUUCUUCGGAAAUGGAUUAGCGGCGAACGGGUGAGGAACACGUGAAGAAUCUGCCCUCCACUUUGGGAUAACACCGGGAAACCGGUGCUAAUACCGAAUAUUGAAACAUAAGUGGCAUCACUGAGUUUUGAAAGAAUUUCGGUGGAGGAUGACUUCGCGGCCUAUCAGCUAGUUGGUGAGGUAAUGGGCUCACCAAGGCAACGACGGGUAGCCGGCCUGAGAGGGGCGACCGGCCACACUGGGGACUGAGACACGGCCCAGACUCCUACGGGAGGCAGCAGUGGGGAAUAUUGGGCAAUGGAGGAAACUCUGACCCAGCGACGCCGCGUGCGGGAUGAAGGCCUUCCGGGUUGUAAACCGCUUUCAGUAGGGAAGAAGCGAAAGUGACGGUACCUACAAAAGAAGCACCGGCUAACUAUGUG
rnacentral:rRNA from 1 species